rnacentral:rRNA from 1 species
CUUGCUCUGUGGGAUCAGUGGCGAACGGGUGAGUAACACGUGAGCAACCUGCCCCUGACUCUGGGAUAAGCGCUGGAAACGGCGUCUAAUACUGGAUACGAGUAGCGACCGCAUGGUCAGUUACUGGAAAGAUUUAUUGGUUGGGGAUGGGCUCGCGGCCUAUCAGCUUGUUGGUGAGGUAAUGGCUCACCAAGGCGUCGACGGGUAGCCGGCCUGAGAGGGUGACCGGCCACACUGGGACUGAGACACGGCCCAGACUCCUACGGGAGGCAGCAGUGGGGAAUAUUGCACAAUGGGCGCAAGCCUGAUGCAGCAACGCCGCGUGAGGGAUGACGGCCUUCGGGUUGUAAACCUCUUUUAGCAGGGAAGAAGCGAAAGUGACGGUACCUGCACAAAAAGCGCCGGCUAACUACGUGCCAGCAGCCGCGGUAAUACGUAGGGCGCAAGCGUUAUCCGGAAUUAUUGGGCGUAAAGAGCUCGUAGGCGGUUUGUCGCGUCUGCUGUGAAAUCCGGAGGCUCAACCUCCGGCCUGCAGUGGGUACGGGCAGACUAGAGUGCGGUAGGGGAGAUUGGAAUUCCUGGUGUAGCGGUGGAAUGCGCAGAUAUCAGGAGGAACACCGAUGGCGAAGGCAGAUCUCUGGGCCGUAACUGACGCUGAGGAGCGAAAGGGUGGGGAGCAAACAGGCUUAGAUACCCUGGUAGUCCACCCCGUAAACGUUGGGAACUAGUUGUGGGGUCCAUUCCACGGAUUCCGUGACGCAGCUAACGCAUUAAGUUCCCCGCCUGGGGAGUACGGCCGCAAGGCUAAAACUCAAAGGAAUUGACGGGGACCCGCACAAGCGGCGGAGCAUGCGGAUUAAUUCGAUGCAACGCGAAGAACCUUACCAAGGCUUGACAUAUACGAGAACGGGCCAGAAAUGGUCAACUCUUUGGACACUCGUAAACAGGNGGGUGCAUGGUUUGUCGUCAGCUCCUGGUCGUGGAGAUGUUGGGGUUAAGUCCCCGCAACCAAGCGCAACCCUUCGUUCUAUGUUUGCCAG